rnacentral:rRNA from 1 species
AGCGAACGCUGGCGGCAGGCUUAACACAUGCAAGUCGAGCGGGCAUACGUGUGGUGUUAGAGGCAGACGGGUGAGUAACGCGUGGGAAAGUGACCUGCGGGUAGGAAUAACUCAGGGCAACUUGAGCUAAUACCAGAUAGGUGCGAGAGCAGAAAGGUUUAUCUGCCGAAGGAAGGGACCGCGUCUGAUUAGUUAGUUGGUGAGGUUACGGCUCACCAAGGCGACGAUCAGUAGCUGGUCUGAGAGGAUGGUCCGACACACCGGGACUAAGACACAGCCCCGACUCCUACGGAAUGCAGCAAUGGGGUAUGUUGGACCACGGCGGCAGCCCUGAUCCUGCCCUGCCCGGUAAGUGCUGUUGGCCUUGAUGUUGUAAUGCUCUUUUCUCCGGGACGAUAAUGACGGUACCGUAUGAAUAAGCCCCGGCUAACUACGUG